UACGGAGGAUGCAAGCGUUAUCCGGAAUGAUUGGGCGUAAAGCGUCCGCAGGUGGCAUUGAAAGUCUGCUGUUAAAGAGUCUGGCUCAACCAGAUAAAGGCAGUGGAAACUACAAAGCUAGAGUGCGUUCGGGGUAGAGGGAAUUCCUGGUGUAGCGGUGAAAUGCGUAGAGAUCAGGAAGAACACCGGUGGCGAAGGCGCUCUACUAGGCCGCAACUGACACUGAGGGACGAAAGCUAGGGGAGCGAAUGGG
rnacentral:rRNA from 1 species